GACGAACGCUGGCGGCGUGCUUAACACAUGCAAGUCGAACGGAAAGGCCCCUUUGGGGGUACUCGAGUGGCGAACGGGCGAGUAACACGUGAGUAACCUGCCCUUCACUACGUGAUAACUUCAGCUAACUGGGGCUAAUACCGGAUAGGAAUCCUUGCAGCAUGGUGGGGGUUGGCAAGCUUCGGCGGUUUUGGAUGGACUGGCGGCUUAUUAGCUAGUUGGUGGGGUAGUGCCUUACCAAGGCGUUGACGGGUAACCGGCCUGAGAGGGCGACCGGCCACCUAGGGACUGAGAGACGGCCCAGACUCCUACGGGAGGCAGCAGUGGGGAGUAUAGCACAAUGGGCGGGCGCCUGAUGCAGCAACGCCGCGUGCGGGAUGACGGCCUUCGGGUUGUAAGCCGCUUUCAGCAGGGGCGAAACUUGUAGUGACGGUACCUGCAGAAGAAGCACCGGCUAACUCCGUG
rnacentral:rRNA from 1 species